rnacentral:rRNA from 1 species
AGUGAACGCUGGCGGCGUGUCUAAUACAUGCAAGUCGAACGGAGUAUUAAGAGAGCUUGCUCUUUUAAUACUUAGUGGCGCACGGGUGAGUAAUGUAUAGUUAAUCUGCCCUACACUGGAGGACAACAGUUAGAAAUGACUGCUAAUACUCCAUACAUCCUUCUUAACAUAAGUUAAGUCGGGAAAGUUUUUCGGUGUAGGAUGAGACUAUAUUGUAUCAGCUAGUUGGUAAGGUAAUGGCUUACCAAGGCUUUGACGCAUAACUGGUCUGAGAGGAUGAUCAGUCACACUGGAACUGAGACACGGUCCAGACUCCUACGGGAGGCAGCAGUAGGGAAUAUUGCUCAAUGGGGGAAACCCUGAAGCAGCAACGCCGCGUGGAGGAUGACACUUUUCGGAGCGUAAACUCCUUUUGUUGGGGAAGAACCAUGACGGUACCCAACGAAUAAGCACCGGUUAACUCCGUGCCAGCAGCCGCGGUAAUACGGAGGGUGCAAGCGUUACUCGGAAUCACUGGGCGUAAAGGACGCGUAGGCGGAUUAUCAAGUCUUUUGUGAAAUCUAACAGCUCAACUGUUAAACUGCUUGAGAAACUGAUAAUCUAGAGUGAGGGAGAGGCAGAUGGAAUUGGUGGUGUAGGGGUAAAAUCCGUAUAGAUCACCAGGAAUACCCAUUGCGAAGGCGAUCUGCUGGAACUCAACUGACUCUAAUGCGUGAAAGCG